GAUGAACGCUGGCGGCGUGCUUAACACAUGCAAGUCGAACGAGAAGUGAAGACGGAACCCUUCGGGCGGAAGGCUUUAUUUCGAGUGGCGGACGGGUGAGUAACGCGUGGGUAACCUGCCUCAUACAGGGGGAUAACAGUUGGAAACGACUGUUAAUACCGCAUAAGACCACAGCACCGCAUGGUGCGGGGGUAAAAACUCCGGUGGUAUGAGAUGGACCCGCGUUCGAUUAGCCAGUUGGCGGGGUAACGGCCCACCAAAGCGACGAUCGAUAGCCGAUCUGAGAGGAUGACCGGCCACAUUGGGACUGAGACACGGCCCAAACUCCUACGGGAGACAGCAGUGGGGAAUAUUGCACAAUGGGGGAAACCCUGAUGCAGCGACGCCGCGUGAGUGAAGAAGUAUUUCGGUAUGUAAAGCUCUAUCAGCAGGGAAGAAAAUGACGGUACCUGAGGAAGAAGCCCCGGCUAACUACGUG
rnacentral:rRNA from 1 species